rnacentral:rRNA from 2 species
AACGCGAAGAACCUUACCUAAGCUUGACAUCCUUUUGACCGAUGCCUAAUCGCAUCUUUCCCUUCGGGGACAGAAGUGACAGGUGGUGCAUGGUUGUCGUCAGCUCGUGUCGUGAGAUGUUGGGUUAAGUCCCGCAACGAGCGCAACCCUUGCCUUUAGUUGCCAGCAUUAAGUUGGGCACUCUAGAGGGACUGCCAGGGAUAACCUGGAGGAAGGUGGGGAUGACGUCAAAUCAUCAUGCCCCUUAUGCUUAGGGCUACACACGUGCUACAAUGGGUGGUACAGAGGGCAGCCAAGUCGUGAGGCCGAGCUAAUCCCUUAAAGCCAUUCUCAGUUCGGAUUGUAGGCUGAAACUCGCCUACAUGAAGCUGGAGUUACUAGUAAUCGCAGAUCAGAAUGCUGCGGUGAAUGCGUUCCCGGGUCUUGUACACACCG